AUAUCAGGAUUUAAAGGAACUGAAGACCCUUCAGAUGAUAAAUUACUUGAUGCUCCAUUUAUUUCGGACUGCAUAAGGAUGAAGAAAGUUUCAUCGGUGCCAUUGUAUGAACCAGAGAACUCAGAAAAUACACUAGAUGAACCCACUUCUGUCAAUCUGGAACGGAGCAGUGGUGUGAGGCAAUUGAGAAGCAUAUGCCUCUGAUUCUGCACCAUACUUCUGCAGUGGUUCGUGCUGCCGUAAAUGAUGUGCCUUCAGUUAGGUCAGCUGCUCGUCGAGCCCUUGGAGUCAUAUCAAUGUUUCCUCAAGUUUCUUAAAGGUUAAAUCAAAUGCUGUAAGGGCUCUGGGGAAUCUUUCAAGAUCUAUCAAAUAUUCAAAUAUAGAAGCGGUAGUGACAGGACACUAGACAAUAAUGGAUCGACAAUAAAGAGCACUAAACCUGACAAAAUACCAUCAAGCAAUUACAGGGCAGGAAGUCAAAGAGAUGUGUUAAUAUCAUGCCAUCCAGCUUCUUUGGGAGAUUCACGUUGGCUUGAGCAAGUUGUUCAGGCAUUGAUUUCUUGUGUUACGACUGGUAAUGUUAAGGUCCAAUGGAAUGUUUGUCAUGCUUUGAGCAACCUAUUUCUGAAUGAGACAUUAAGACUGCAAGAUAUGGAUUGGGCUUCAUCUAUGUUUAGUAUUCUUCUACUGCUAUUACGCGAUUCUUCCAACUUUAAGAUCAGGAUUCAAGCUGCUUGUGCUUUGGCCGUGCCAGCAUCAAUACUUGAUACAGAAAGCCUCAUUCCUUGAAGACUGGUUCAAGGCCCUUUGCUUGUCACUAGGAGAGACAACAAGUAGUCAAGCUGAACUUGAAGAUAAUAAAUCCAUCAGGAAUCAGAAGAAAGAGAUGAUAUGCAGCACAAUUGGGUCGCUAAUCCAAUUGUACAAUAGCAGGAAGCAUCAUGCAAUUGUGCAGAAAUUCGAGAAGUUAGCGAAUAGCAUCCAGUGAGUUCUCAGUGGACUUUCAUAUUCCUGCUGUACAUACCAACCCUGUGAUCAAGUUCCUUGCACAGCCACAUGAUGUACCGGAAAAAUGCUGCCAUUUGAAGGCAACAUUUUCACGGUGACACGGGAUCUCGGAGAUGCACUGGCAGCAUACGGAGGACUCUUAAGAGGAUCAUAUGAGAUUGAUUUUUGUUGUGCUUGUUUCUUGGCAUGGAAUGGAAGGGGUUAGAUAGGACCUAAUUCCUAAAUAGUGUCAACAAAUCUACGGCGUUGGGUGACCUUUGGAUGGUGAUUUGUGACUUCAUUUUUUCGACUGGCUCAUGAGAAGGGGUCGAGAUCGAGAGCUCUCUGUGCUCAUGCCCUUAAUCUUAGGUGCAGCCGCCUCCGCUGCGACACUCGACCGGAAGAUCCAGAUAGAGAAAACCCGGACAGCCGAACCCCGCGGCAAGGAAUCGUCCUCAUUAACGCAUGCCGUUGAAUGAAGGAUAUUCGGAUUUGGAAUCGUUGCUGCAGGGCUGGGUGGCAAGGAUGGUCAGCCACCGGCGUCGAAGGCGUCAAUCCACGCCAUGCCGUGUGCCAAGAUUUGGGAAUCAUAUUUGUUUUCAAAUUAUUGGUUGUGUAAAUUUCAACUUUGAUGAUGGUGAUGCAGAAAAAAAAAAGGCUGGUUGUAUGGGAUGGGGGUCGGUGAUUCAGAAAGAAUGGGAUGGCUGGUUGCGUUGAAGCUGGGAGAAACUUUUAGUUUGAUAGGAACGGUGGAAAAUUUUAUUUUUUAAAUUAUUAAUUUUUUAAUAUAUAUAUUUUAUUAUUUGUUUAAUGACACAUAAUAAAUUAUUUCAUGUACUGAU